GCUUGUCUCAAAGAUUAAGCCAUGCAUGUCUAAGUAUAAACUGCUUAUACUGUGAAACUGCGAAUGGCUCAUUAAAUCAGUCAUAAUUUAUUUGAUGGUACCUACUACUCGGAUAACCGUAGUAAUUCUAGAGCUAAUACAUGCUAUAUGCCCGGCUUCUGGCAGGGCUGUAUUUAUUAGAUACUAAACCAGUGUCGCAAGACAUUGUGGUGAAUCACAGUAACUGAUCGAAUCGGCGCGCAAGCGGCGAUAAAUCAUUCAAGUUUCUGCCCUAUCAGCUUUCGAUGGUAGUGUAUUGGACUACCAUGGCAGUCACGGGUAACGGAGAAUUAGGGUUCGGUUCCGGAGAGGGAGCCUGAGAAACGGCUACCACAUCUAAGGAAGGCAGCAGG
rnacentral:rRNA from 1 species